rnacentral:rRNA from 1 species
GCACGCAGUGCGACGGGGGACCCCAAGUGCCACUCUUAACGGGGUGGCUUUUCAGAAGUGUAAAAAGCUUCUGGAAUAAGGGCUGGGCAAGACCGGUGCCAGCCGCCGCGGUAACACCGGCAGCUCAAGUGGUAGCCGCUUUUAUUGGGCCUAAAGCGUCCGUAGCCGGUCUGAUAAGUCUCUGGUGAAAUCCCACAGCUUGACUGUGGGAAUUGCUGGAGAUACUAUCAUGACUCGAGGUCGGGAGAGGCUGGAGGUACUCCCAGGGUAGGGGUGAAAUCCUGUAAUCCUGGGAGGACCACCUGUGGCGAAGGCGUCCAGCUGGAACGAACCUGACGGUGAGGGACGAAAGCCAGGGGCGCGAACCGGAUUAGACACCCGGGUAGUCCUGGCCGUAAACGAUGUGGACUUGGUGUUGGGAUGGCUU